CUCCUCCCGUCCUGAAAAGGCACUAGCCGCCUCCCCAAGCCCAACUCGCCGAAACCCAGCACCCCAUGACCCGAUCGAUCACCGAUGGCGUUCGGCGAGGUCAUGCCCUAGGCCUCAUCCUCGGCCGCCCUGACAGCGGAUCGAAUCAGCGUAGUUGGCGCAUGGGACGGCUCCCUGGAGGUGUACCUGGGCGCUUGGACGGGGCUGAUGCUGCGCGUCGAGGUGGCGCGGUGGGCCGGGGUCCCGGCGCAUGCCGUGGCGAGCUAAUCUCAACCUGACGCUGGUCACCAGCGCGGCAUCAUGCCACCUGGCCGGCGCUGCAGCGACGUGGUUAAGAGGGAGGUGGAUGAGGCAGAGUCUGCGCUCGGCGUCGCGGAGAUCUGGAGGAUACAUGAUUGUGUGGACACAGCGGCGGCGUGGCCGGGUGGGGCGGCAUGUUGAUUUUCUUGGGGGUAGGUUUUUGCUGCUGGUGACCUUUUAAGAAAUUUAAGAGAUCCAGUGCACGGAAAGAUGCUAUUGAGUUGGGAGACCAGGUGGAUUUGAAGCUCAUUGGUCAACGUUCAGUCAAAUUUCAUAUUGAACAGGUAUGUCCUUGAUGAUCUGGUGCUUCUAAUCUUUUUUGCCUAUAGUUCGGACCUUAAGCCUCUCUUACUUUGUCCAAUAUAGUUAGUCUGCAUAUGAGAACACACGUAUGUCAAUGGAUAAGCAAUUGACCUCUAAUCAAUCAAGGUUUGCAAACUCAUCCAGAUCUCAAUCUUAAUGGUUCAAGAAUCAACAUUUACACUUUAAAGUGUAUUCAUUGACCAAUUCUUUUUGAAAUAUGCAUCUGGGCCAUCGAAGGCAAGAUGCUUAUGUUAUGUUUUUAUUCUGAUGACAAAUUAUCUUCUUUGCCUGUUGGUAGCUGCUCAUGAGAAAUUAGGAUAUAUUUUUACUGCUUUAGAUGCAAGCAUCUUCUUUUCCAUGGGCCUGCAGCUAUUUGUUUGGAAAUUAAGUUGAAGUUAACGACAUUUGUUAUUCUGCAUGGGCAGGGAUGCAGAGUAUUAAAUAUUUCUAGGACAUAAAGUACAUCGGCAAUUUAAGUAUUUAAGUAGUGUAUCAAUUUUCACUGUAUUCUCAGUUUUAAUCUUAGUGUAGCUUAUGCCCAGAUCUUUAGUAUAUGAUUAAUCUCAUCUAUUUCUUGUGAGAUGCCGACUGAAUAAGGAAACCAGUAAAGUUUCCCGUUCUUAGAUCUAAUGCUUCCUCUCUCUCAAUAUGAUAACCAUCUAAAUUGUUAUUAUUAUUUACACUGUGAUGCUAAUCUUAUUUGUUUUGAAAAAGAUGAAUCUACAUGAUAGAUAUGAACUCAGUGAAUAAAAUUUGGGACUAACAUUCAAGCACAAUAAUGUGAAUACAACAUAUGCCUGCUGGUGUGCUGGAAUUCACCAGUUGUAUCAAGAAAACAAAAAGUAAAACAGGUAUGCCAAAUGAGUGAAAUUUCUUAUUCUACUCUUUACAGCUAAAAGCAUAAUCUGCCUUAUUUUUCUACCAAGAUACCCGAAUAGUUAUAGUCAAUAUAUUGGUUUUCUUGGUUUUGACCCGGAAACUCGAUGUAGUUGUAACCCCCGGUAUGAUUGAAAAUCUAAAAUUAUAAUUUCACAUGACUAAAUGUCCCCAUUAAAUUUAUUUCUGUUGUCUCUAGAAUUAACAGUGCUUCAAAUGAUAAUUUCCAACUACCACUCUUAGAUAUUGGUUCAUCGUUUGCACUCUUAAAAUUACAAUGUGUUUUGUCGGAGCUGGUUUGCCCUGAUCUCACCAAUCCAAUAACUCAUGAAUUUUUUUAUCUAUUUGAAUUACAUAAUACAGGGUUAAAUAUGUAGACGUGUGAUUCUUUGUUUUAGUUGUCUCCCGCUGAACAUAUAUUCUUAGCUGCGUAUUUUUUAGUUUUCUGCAGGUUGUUGGGAAUGUUAAUUCAAUCAGUGCUCUACUUGACAGGUCUUGACUUCUUUAUUACUUAUUACUUGCUUAACAACCGUUUUUAAAAAAUGCGUAGCAAUCUGUUGUAGCUGUAAUAUAUUGAGUCGACAAACUAUGCUAUAAUCUUCUUAGCCUUUGCCAUAAUUUCAAGCAAGAAUUUGGCGGGACUAACAUUUAUUUGCAGGCAAAAGAGAGAGUACAACUUUAUCACGUGCGAGUGUGAUGAAAUGAUAGCCCCAAAUUUCAAUACAGCGUUGAGGAGAAGUACUACAUCAUUGAUGGUAUAUCUUGUUAAUUUCUUAGUAUCUUGGAACAGUGAUGUGCCAUGUUAACAAGUGAUGGCUAAUUUGUGUGUUGUUUGUAAUCUUUGCAGUUUUGAGUACUGGUCUCACCUUCUUUGAUUGAUAAUUUUUUUACUCUUUCACGUCAUUUACUUCAAAGUUUGAGUUUUCCCUCAUAUAUAUACACAUUGAUAUGGUUACGAGUAAGGGAUGUGGAUCAAUUUGCACGUAGGGUAAGGGCAUGUGAUUUUUUUUCUCCCGUUGCAACGCACAGGCAACUUUGCUAUUCAAACCUAUAGCCUAUAAUAAACCCCAGUUUGUUAAUCAAGUUUAAACAUUUCAGUUCCGUUUUUGGGUCGGAAUUUCAGUGGCCAUGUAAGACUGGAAAUUGCUCAUCAUGUGUUCCUUAAUGUAUAUUGUGCCAAUAGCUAUUAAACCUUCGAUAUGCUGGAGGGCGAUGAGGUGGCAUGGAGCUAAACAUAGAUUGAAGAUUCUGUCAUGGGUUCCUUAGAGAAGAUGGAACAAAUGAGUAUGGAGAUCCAGCUGUUGAAGAUGCCGAGGGACAAGAACAUUCAGAAGUUUUUCGCCUAACAAGAAUACAUUUAACAUCAUCACAGAUUGCUUUAGCUAGAGCCAGGUUCAGAGUUGUUCACUCGGGAUUUUUUGGGCACGGACAUCAAGCAAGCUAGCACGUAUUGUUUAACUGAAGGAAAGGGCAACUAAGCUUUGAAUGCUACAUUCUUUGUUCUGAACAAAUGUAGCUACUAUUUGUAUUCGAUGCUGGACUCCUGGUAACAAUUUAUUACUGUACAUGUUAUUUCUUUUUUUGGUGAGUCUUUUUUAGGAUUAUGGAGUUAACGGGUGUUACUUUUGACCUGCUAAUACAGUUGUGUUAAACUUUUUGCUCUUCGAAAGCAACUAUGUAAGUCUGACGCUAACAUAGUGUUUACUGCUAAAAUACUUUAGUUUAACUUAAGAGUCAGGAGCACAAGUAGAAUUUCAUAGAAAUCUGUCUAGCUCCUGUAGAUGAAAGACUUCCUGCAAGUGAGCUCUUGAAUAACUCUUACCUCCAGGAAGAUGAGGUCUAUCCCAGCGCCUCCAGUUUCAGUCUCUCUGGUCUCAAGUGUGACUGAAGAUAGGUGGCAAUCUGCAAGUUUCGUGCUUUGGAAAGGCUGUUUAAAGAAUGCUGAGUUGUCAAGCGAGGUGCUGCAGUGGCUGGCGUUGCCGGGCAUGGGACAACGUCCCUAGGCUCCUGCUUGAGGCAAGCCUCUCCGACCUCCUCGGAUGCCUUCUAGGAACUGGCACUGCGUAUGAUGGCCUCCUCACCUAGAACCUAGGUUGACCUAGCCACUGCCAUCGAAGCGGAGAGUUGACAACAUAUGUAUGAUUGUUCGACGGUGUCAGUCCUGCCAUUGGAAUGUUCAAAACUAUGAAUUGAGUGAUUACAAAUAUGCUUUGAUCAAUGAAAUGAAACGAAAUUUUGCUACAUCUUGUUGUGCAGAUAUAGGGCUUGAAUUAUUUUCGGUCGUAUCAUCUUGGCCCUAUAAUAAAAAAGCGAGUGUGGGAGGACGCGACCAGUUGCUACCAGUAUCAAGGUGCACUUGAUGUGUAGUAUUCAGUCAAUGAGAACCAUAGAAAAAUGGAGGCACCGACUCUAGGAGUAUAUAUCCGCUCCCAAAAAAAGUGUGCUAUAUAUUGAAUGGUUCAAUAUAGGUUAGUGAAUUUGAGGCAGCAAAAGGCUUUAGAGCUAAAAUCAAUAGGAAAUGGUAUUUGUUUCUUAAGAAGUUUUUUGAUAAAUGUAAAAAAGAAAAUGAAUUAGUUAGUAGAGAAAAGGAGACCAUGACUUGUUUCUCUAUUUAUCCUUGCUCCACACAUGUUGUGAUUAGAGGACACUGUGUAAUCGCUGGCAGUGAGGGACUAAGAUAAGUGGUGACAUGGUGUCGGCGGUGGACUAAGAUAAGUGGUGACACGGGUGGGACACCAUGUUGAAAUAGAGGACGUUGAAUUGUGGGGGUCUUGAGCCGUAUUUAUCAGCCCGUUGCAACGCACAGGCAUGUUUACUAGUUAGAAAUAAAGCACGGAUUGAGUCUCUGGAUUCACCAUCGCGGCGCUUUUGCAAAAACGUUUCAAUCUUGCAAAAAGACCAUGUAGUUUUUUGGUAUUCAACCCACGCUCCUUUUUGAAGUGGCAGCACACACGAGCAUAUGCAUGCUCUCCUCGAUGCAACAGGCGGCGCCGCCGCGGGCGCUCCUCGAUCCAUACGGGCGGCGCCACCGCCACCUGCGGCUGGUCUUCUUCUCCAGCCAUCUGCCGCCCUUCUCCCCUCCCCAUUCGUUGCCCUCCUCUACCCUCCCGCCCCUAAUCUUCUCUGGCACUACCCCCAGCCUCCUGCUGCCGUGCCUCGAUCCAUACGGGCGUCACCGCCAGCGGGGGGCGGUCUUCUUCUCCGGCCAUCCACCGCCCUCCUCCCCUCCCCCUCCCUCCUAUUCUUCUUCUUCUUCUCCGGCCAUCCGUCGCCCUCCUCAAAUCCCGCGGAGUUCGCCGGAGGAAGAACAUCCGCCGUCCGAACGUGCUACGCCAGAGGGAAGCACCGGAAAGUGGAUGUUUCUAUGCAGCAUCACCCAAAAGUUUAAUUUGAGAUAUUCCAUCAAGCGAAACGAGGAUAUAUUGGGUGGUCUCCGACAGCCCGACGACAAUACAGAGUCGUCGUAGUUGGGUUGUGUUCAUGUAACACUGAAACUUGACAUAGUUAGUAUAAGAAGGUUUGGUUUACUUCCACUAUGUUACUGUUCAGUCUAUUUUAUAAACAUGUUGAUUAGCCAUUCUGGCAAAGAGGCAUCUUCAAUAUUUCAGAAAUCUCUUUUCCAGAAACUCCAAUUCUCCUCAUAGGAAUUGAGAUGCCCAAUAUUUCUCAAUUUGCUGACAAGGUUGUAAUAUAAUCACGUUUUGCUAUUGACGUAAUGAUAUAUUCCUUGACUGAAAGCAAACCCUUUAAUUGCAUCUGUACUAAGCAUUCUUUCCGUCUAUAUCCUGUCAUGAUUUUUUUACUAGCUGUAGUGGUGUUCUUAUUAUUGUCAUUUUCCAGAAUUAUUGUCAUUUCACAGAUGGUAUAAACCUUGUUCAUGGCUAACUUAUAGAAUAGCAAACCUGGUUCAUGGCUAACUUAUAGAAUAGCAAACCUUGUUCAUGGCUAACUUAUACAAUAGCAGUAACUGAUUUGAAACCAUCAAUCUCAGGAACACUCUGACCAUGUAUUUGAUUCUGUUAAAGACCCAAUAUGUCAUGUGGUCCUGCAUCUCCUGAUGUUGGUAUUUCCAGUAAAUUUUAUUGACAGGCACUUUGGUGUCUCAGCAACCAGGUCGCCACCGACCACCACGGUGGCUCGCAGCGAUGCCCUCCCGCCACCGUAUGUACGACCAGCGGCGAGAUGGGGGGGAACUCUUUGGCAUGCCGGCACACAGGAACGACACAUGCCGUACAACCUGAAGGUCACGUUCGUCAGGCUUGACUUGACCCUCACCGACGCCACCUUGCCACCUCUGUUGCCGGAGAUCAGCCGAAGAUUAGCUUGUUGCCGCUUUGCUUCAAUGGUUGCUUUAAUGCUUAAAACAUCAGAGUAUUUUUUUAGUUACAGAUUUGGCAAUACCCAGGACAUUAUGUUUCUCCAAUUCAACUAUUGGCUUUCAAGGUGGCAGUGUCAGCCAUUACUGCUAUCACAGGAUCAUGUGACUGUAUAUUUGGUUUUUGUCAGAAUAUGAGGAAAAUGACUCUUUUGUA